rnacentral:misc_RNA from 1 species
GAUGAAGAACGUAGCAAAAUGCGAUAACUAAUGUGAAUUGCAGAAUUCCGUGAAUCAUCGAGUCUUUGAACGCACAUUGCGCCCCCUGGUAUUCCGGGGGGCAUGCCUGUCCGAGCGUCAUUGCUGCCCAUCAAGCACGGCUUGUGUGUUGGGUCCUCGUCCCCCCCGGGGGACGUGCCCGAAAGGCAGCGGCGGCACCGCGUCCGGUCCUCGAGCGUAUGGGGCUUUGUCACCCGCUCUGCAGGCCCGGCCGGCGCUGGCCGACGCGAAAGCAACCAUUUUUUCUCCAGGUUGACCUCGGAUCAGGUAGGGAUACCCGCUGAACUUAAGCAUAUCAAUAAGCGGAGGA